rnacentral:tRNA from 1 species
UGGCUCAGCUGGUAGAGCAUGGUGUGUGCAACGCCAGGGUUGUGGGUUUGAUUCCCAC